rnacentral:rRNA from 1 species
GGAAUUUUGGACAAUGGGCGCAAGCCUGAUCCAGCAAUGCCGCGUGAGUGAAGAAGGCCUUCGGGUUGUAAAGCUCUUUUGUCAGGGAAGAAACGGGCCUUUCUAAUACAGGGGCCUAAUGACGGUACCUGAAGAAUAAGCACCGGCUAACUACGUGCCAGCAGCCGCGGUAAUACGUAGGGUGCAAGCGUUAAUCGGAAUUACUGGGCGUAAAGGGUGCGCAGGCGGUUUUGUAAGACUGUCGUGAAAUCCCCGGGCUCAACCUGGGAAUGGCGAUGGUGACUGCAAGGCUAGAGUUUGGCAGAGGGGGGUAGAAUUCCACGUGUAGCAGUGAAAUGCGUAGAUAUGUGGAGGAACACCGAUGGCGAAGGCAGCCCCCUGGGUCAAAACUGACGCUCAUGCACGAAAGCGUGGGGAGCAAACAGGAUUAGAUACCCCGG